AGCGAACGCUGGCGGCAGGCUUAACACAUGCAAGUCGAACGCUCAUCUUCGGAUGGGAGUGGCAGACGGGUGAGUAACACGUGGGAACGUACCCUUCGAUCUGGGAUAACUUCGGGAAACUGGAGCUAAUACCGGAUACGCCCUUUUGGGGAAAGGUUUACUGUCGAAGGAUCGGCCCGCGUCUGAUUAGCUAGUUGGUGGGGUAACGGCCUACCAAGGCGACGAUCAGUAGCUGGUCUGAGAGGAUGAUCAGCCACACUGGGACUGAGACACGGCCCAG
rnacentral:rRNA from 2 species